ensembl:lncRNA
GGGCAGUCCACCGUUUUACCUCCCUCUUGGUCACGUCUUCCCUCCGUAUGCUUUGUUUAUACUGGGGAAUGAGGAAGAUGGCGUUGUGGUCAGACUUCCCAAAAGCCGGGUGUGAGACAGCUUUGUAGCCCUGCUUGUAUGGCGUGUAGCAGUGAUCCAAAAUCCGAUCCCCUCUCGUUGGACACGAGACAUGCUGGUAAAAGUUUGGCAUGACUUGUCUGAGGUUCGCUUUGUUAAAGUCUCCUGCUACAAUGAGGGCUGCGCCCGGGUCCUUGUUUUGAAGCGAGCUCAGCACAUCAUGUAAUUCGGACAAAGCCAUACCUGUGUCCGCUUGGGGUGGGAUGUAGACCACCGUGGCGAUGACUGAGGUGAACUCACGGGGCAGAUAGAAAGGGCGGCACUUAAUGCUCAGGAACUCCAGAUGUGGCGAGCAGCCGCUGGAGAGAGUAGAAAUGCUCCUGGCAUCACACCACUUUCUGUUUACCAUGAAACACACUCCUCCACCUUUGGUUUUGUUCGACUCUGCCGUUCUGUCCGCGCGGAGCACAAAGAAUGAAUCCGACGGAGUUACGGCCUGGUCCGGCACGGUGGGGGACAGCCAUGUCUCCGUGAAGCACAGAAUGUUGCAGUCCCUCAUGUCACGUAGUCGGAGCGGAGCGGUCAGGAAGGCGUCUGGACGUGGCCGUGCCAUCUUUGAGUCAGUGUGGAGUGUAUAUACAAGAAUGUGCGGGGGGGUGUUAUGUACAGCUGAGUGGGGGGAGAAGGGGUCUCCAGGGAAGUCCAGGGGAAAGCACGCGUUCUUCAGAGUAUCCACUCACACGAUCACAGGCUCACACUCCGACACUAUCACACGGGAAUCACACGGGGGAAAUCCAGGAAGCUCUGUAGACAGGGAGACAGGGUUAAGAACGACGCACAAAGGAAAACACUCUUAACUAAACUUGCUGUAGCUUGACUUCACUAACGCGUGGUAGACAACGAUCCAGCGACGAACAGCAGUCACCUCCUGGCUUAAAUGCUGCUCCCCUUAAUGAGACCCAGGUGUCUCAUUUCCCGAGGGCGUGGGCUGAGGGCGUGAACCCACAGUGAGUUCCGCCCCGGCGAGAGAGAAGAGGAAGAGAAACAGAGAGGGCUGAUCAGUGUGCAGCUGAUCCGCCUGGCCGUGACAAUAUCGUUAUAUCGAACAGCCCUAAUCAAUACAGUUUUCAAAAAAUGCUUCUCUGUGCAAAAUCGGUUUAAAAACAUAAACAGCGGUGGGAUGCUGCUUGUCCGUGAUUUGGACAUCAUAUUUUAUAUAAAAUUUAUAUUAAUUUGGAUUAAUUUGAUGCUACAAGUGCCUGAAGCAGGUGCCCGAGAGGAUCACAUAUGGAGAAUGAUGUGUGGCCACAUCUGUGCAUCUCGUUUAGUAGCAGCCUUGGUUGAAUAGACUGUUGUGUCUAUUCUAAGAGGCCCCAUAGGCAGAUUAGCUCUUCUAGUUCAAGACAAAGCUCAGAUUAUAGGGGCAGGGCCAUUUCACAUCCUCUGAACACCCACAGUCCCGCACAACUCCUACAGAUUAAGCUGUGAUGAAGCUCCACUGUGAUGAUGAUGCUGCCGUGCGCACACUCUCCAAAAGGUUUAUCGACCCAAAGUGACCCACAGGAACGCAUAUUUUAUUACUAACAGUCAUGGAGGUCAUGCUGAGCAGGGAGGGGAUGGAUACGGAUCAAUAGCACUGUAGUGUAACAUUGGUAAAAAAAAGCCAUGAGGGGAGAUCAGGUAGAGAACAUGAAGGUCCAGUCACACUGAAUGGAUUCAUUUUUACCAACAAGUGCUUUAGAGAGAGCUCCUGCUUGGCACAAACACCUGUGUGCCUUCAGAGACUCAACUUCCAUCAAAUAUUUGUUUUUUAAUAAAGGUACAAGUGCAUAGGCAGCAGUCUGUGUUCAGAAAAACCCAAAACAUUUGAUUCAAAUGUAGAACAAAAACACCACAGUGGGAGGGAAACAGAGAAACUGGCUUCUUUUUUCCACUAUAACUGUGUUUACAGGCCGUUCCAGUCUUUAUCUGUCUUACACACUCGACCAAAUAACAAAUACAAAAUAAAAAAAAGAACAUCUCACAUAAAUAAAUACAUAAAUAAUCCAAAAGUAGCUAUAUUAGUAGUGAAACAAACAAGAAAAGCAUUUAAAAACCAAAUGUGUAAAUUCUAAACGCGCAAAUCAGUCAGUGCGUAAUUACAUUGCUCCGCCCAUCAAAAAGUGACCUGUGUGAAUAUCACCAUCUCUGUCACGGACCCGGCUCUGGAGGACUCGGGGGUCCGUGAGCAGGAUGGAUUAUUAUUAUUAUUAUUAUUAUUAUUAUUAUUAUUAGUGUUGUUGUUGUUAUUUGGGGAUGUGUGUUUUUCUGCACUAUGCUGUGUUCGGUGUUCCACUCAUAUGUAGAGGCAGGGUGUGUACAUGUGUGGCUGGAGGAUGGAGAACAGCCACAUGCAGGCCUGAUGGGUGUGGCCCUGCAGGAGGACUGGCCACACCUGAAGUUCCUGCCACACACCUGUUGGUGAUCAGGGCUCGUCGGGGGAGCUACUUAGGAGAGUGUUGAAGCUCCCACCGGCGUGGGAUCAUUAAGCUAAGACUCCAAGUGGAACGAGGGACCAGAAGGGCAGCACGCACAGGGUGUGCAGAAACACAACUGCCGGGAGCACGAGCACGGACGUCGGAGGGGAACACACACAUGGGAGUCUAGGGAGCAAAGGGGAUUUAUUGUGCAUCUGUUACCUUCACUGUAAAUAAAGUGCACUGUUUGCAUCGCAGA